UCCUAUCCAUCCCUGCCCUUAGAAACAAAUGAAGGGUCUCUCCAGUUUUGCAUUAAAGUCUCUUUUAUGUUUUCUUUUUGGAGCAGAUUAAGAGCAUGCAACCCUUCAAUGGAAUCUGAGAUGUCCAGAAAGGUGGCCGUAGGCCUUAUUUGGGGCGCUUCUUAACAAUAGAUUGAUUUUGUUGUGGAGAUGGCAGGUGGCGGCUUUAGGGGCGGCUGUGGAGAUGGCAGCGGCAGAGUCGAAAGGUUCGGCGGCAGCAGAGGCGGUGGCUGAAGAGGUAGAGGUCGCGAUGGAGGUAGCGGAGGGCAAGGUUUGCCGGCGAAGCGAAUAUGGUUCCUGGUGAAGGAUGUAUAACGAGAAGAGGAUCUUGGUGCAAGUACAGAGGAACCACCCACAUAUUCUACAAGACCCGAAUGUGCCAAAAGUUUCUUGAUUGAACCUGUCGUAACAGCGACGGCUGUACGUUCGCUCAUGGCCCAAACGAUUUGCGCGAACCGCCUCCGAACUGGCAAGAGCUUGUGAAGGAUAAUAGAGUUGGCGGACUCUGGCAAUGAGUUUAUUACAUCUGUUAUAAACGGAGCUGAUCUGGUCCCUACAUUUUCAGCUGCUUCAGUGGAUGAUUUAAAGUGGCGCACUGCACUUGAGAAGAGCUAUAGGUUCUCAA
rnacentral:lncRNA from 1 species